AUACGGAGGAUCCGAGCGUUAUCCGGAUUUAUUGGGUUUAAAGGGAGCGUAGGUGGAUUGUUAAGUCAGUUGUGAAAGUUUGCGGCUCAACCGUAAAAUUGCAGUUGAAACUGGCAGUCUUGAGUACAGUAGAGGUGGGCGGAAUUCGUGGUGUAGCGGUGAAAUGCAUAGAUAUGACGAAGAACACCGAUUGCGUAGGCAGCUGACCAGACCGCAAAUGACGCUCAUGCACGAAAGUGCGGGGAUCGAACAGGAUUAGAUACCCUGGUAGUCCGCACAGUAAACGAUGAAUACUUGUUUUCGGCGAUAUAAUGUCGGAGGCAAAGCGAAAGCGAUAAGUAUUCCACCUGGGGAGUACGCCGACAACGGUGAAACUCAAAGGAAUUGACGGGG
rnacentral:rRNA from 1 species